GAUGAACGCUGGCGGCGUGCUUAACACAUGCAAGUCGAACGAAGCACUUUAUUUGAUUUCCUUCGGGGACUGAUUAUUUUGUGACUGAGUGGCGGACGGGUGAGUAACGCGUGGGUAACCUGCCUUGUACAGGGGGAUAACAGUUGGAAACGGCUGCUAAUACCGCAUAAGCGCACGGCAUCGCAUGAUGCAGUGUGAAAAACUCCGGUGGUAUAAGAUGGACCCGCGUUGGAUUAGCUAGUUGGUGAGGUAACGGCCCACCAAGGCGACGAUCCAUAGCCGACCUGAGAGGGUGACCGGCCACAUUGGGACUGAGACACGGCCCAAACUCCUGCGGGAGGCAGCAGUGGGGAAUAUUGCACAAUGGGCGAAAGCCUGAUGCAGCGACGCCGCGUGAGCGAAGAAGUAUUUCGGUAUGUAAAGCUCUAUCAGCAGGGAAGAUAAUGACGGUACCUGACUAAGAAGCACCGGCUAAAUACGUG
rnacentral:rRNA from 1 species